rnacentral:rRNA from 1 species
GCUAAACGCGAAGAACCUUACCUGGGCUUGAACUGUCGGUAUAGGGACCCGAAAGGGCGACGAUCCCGGGCAACCGGGAAGCCGAUAGAGGUGCUGCAUGGCUGUCGUCAGCUCGUGUCGUGAGAUGUUGGGUUAAGUCCCGCAACGAGCGCAACCCUUGUCUUUAGUUGCCAGCGAGUCAUGUCGGGCACUCUAAGGAGACUGCCUCGGAUAACGAGGAGGAAGGUGGGGAUGACGUCAAGUCAGCAUGGCCUUUAUGUCCAGGGCUACACACGUGCUACAAUGGGCGGUACAGAAGGACGCGAGACCGCGAGGUCAAGCCAACCCUUAAAACCGUUCUACAGUUCGGAUUGCAGGCUGCAAUUCGCCUGCAUGAAGUCGGAAUCGCUAGUAAUCGCAGAUCAGCAUUGCUGCGGUGAAUACGUUCCCGGGUCUUGUACACACCG